GCUGGGCAUGGUGGCACAUGCCUGUAAUCCCAGCUACUCGGGAGGCUGAGGCGGGAGAAUCGCUUGAGCCCGGGAGGCGGAGGUUGCAGUGAGCCGUGAUCGCGCCUCUGCACUCCAGCCUGGGCGAUAGAGCGAGACUCCGUCUUAA
ensembl:misc_RNA Metazoa_SRP Metazoan signal recognition particle RNA